CACGUAGGGUGCAAGCGUUGUCCGGAUUCAUUGGGCGUAAAGGGCUAGUAGGCGGCUUAGCAAGUCGGGUGUGAAAUUUCCAGGCUUAACCUGGAACCGCCAUCUGAUACUGCUAUGGCUAGAGUCCGGUAGGGGACCACGGAAUACCUGGUGUAGCGGUGAAAUGCGCAGAUAUCAGGUGGAACACCGAUGGCGAAGGCAGUGGUCUGGGCCGGCACUGACGCUGAAUAGCGAAAGCGUGGGUAGCGAACAGG
rnacentral:rRNA from 1 species